GAUGAAGAACGUAGCGAAAUGCAAUAAGUAGUGUGAAUUGCAGAAUUCAGUGAAUCAUCGAAUCUUUGAACGCACAUUGCGCCCUUUGGUAUUCCAAAGGGCAUGCCUGUUCGAGCGUCAUUUGUACCCUCAAGCUUUGCUUGGUGUUGGGCGUCUUGUCUCUAGCUUUGCUGGAGACUCGCCUUAAAGUAAUUGGCAGCCGGCCUACUGGUUUCGGAGCGCAGCACAAGUCGCACUCUCUAUCAGCAAAGGUCUAGCAUCCAUUAAGCCUUUUUUUUCAACUUUUGACCUCGGAUCAGGUAGGGAUACCCGCUGAACUUAAGCAUAUCAAUAAGCGGAGGA
rnacentral:misc_RNA from 1 species